CCCUUAGAUGUCCUGGGCCGCACGCGCGUUACACUGAUGCAUUCAACGAGCUUAUAACCUUGGCCGAGAGGCCUGGGCAAUCUUGUUAACGUGCAUCGUGAUAGGGGUAGAUUAUUGAAAUUAUUAAUCUUGAACGAGGAAUUCCUAGUAAACGCAGAUCAUCAAUCUGCAUUGAUUACGUCCCUGCCCUUUGUACACACCGCCCGUCGCACCUACCGAUUGGAUGGUCCGGUGAAGCCUCGGGAUUGUGGUUCUUGCCGCUUUAUUGUGGCGUGACCGCGAGAACUUGUCUAAACCUUAUCAUCUAGAGGAAGGUGAAGUCGUANCA
rnacentral:rRNA from 1 species